rnacentral:rRNA from 1 species
AGAGUUUGAUCCUGGCUCAGGAUGAACGCUAGCGGCAGGCUUAAUACAUGCAAGUUGAGGGGCAGCAUGAUAUACGCGAGUAUAUUGAUGGCGACCGGCGGACGGGUGAGUAAUAGGUAGGAGACCCACCUCAUACAGGGGGAUAGCAUAGAGAAAUCUGUGGUAAUACCCCAUGAGGUUAUAUGAAUAGAGGCAUAUAAUCAAAGCAUAAGUGAUUAUGCGGUAUGAGAGGGGCCUACUGAUCAUUAGCUAGUUGGUGAGGUAAGGGCUCACCAAGGCGAAGAUGGUUAGGGGUUUUGAGAGAGAGACCCCCCACAUUGGAACUGAGAGACGGUCCAGACUCCUACGGGAGGCAGCAGUAGGGAAUAUUGGGCAAUGGGCGAAAGCCUGACCCAGCCAUGCCGCGUGAAGGAAGACGGCCUUAUGGGUUGUAAACUUCUUUACUACGCGAAUAGAGGUUAGUACGAGAUACUAAUAGGAAGGUAGUGUAGUAAAAAGCACCGGCUAACUCCGUGCCAGCAGCCGCGGUAAUACGGAGGGUGCAAGCGUUAUUCGGAAUUACUGGGUUUAAAGGGUGCGUAGGCGGUUAAAUAAGUUGUCAGUGAAAGGCUACGGCUCAACUGUAGUAGUGCUGGCGAUACUGUAUAACUAAGGACAUGGGAGGGGUACCUGGAAUGUGUGGUGUAGCGGUGAAAUGCGUAGAUAUCACACAGAA